AUGAAGAUCGGGAAGGCUCCUGAGCUCGUGAAGAAGGCAGUAGCGAUGUGCAAGAGCAAGGCCAGCGUGCUCGCUGCCAGGCUCCUCAUCCCCGACUCGCUCCAGCACCGCAAGAUGGCCACGGCCGCGGUGGUCUCUCACAAGAUCGACGCGCUUAUUAUGGCCGACUGGGAGAGAUUUGACCGCCACAAAGCUCUCGCGUUGUGCACGGUCGAGAAGAGACCGGUCGUCGUCCAUGAGGAUGAUUUGGCGGCCAAUUUCCCUCGUCACUUGGCGAUGAUCAGUCAAGAGAAUGGUCAUGGUGGCUGCCAUGCUGACAGGACACUGCAUCCCCUCUUCAACGACGACCACAUAAACUGUCGUUACACUUACGAUGGUGAUGUGCUACUUGAUUCAUGUGAUCAAGACGAUGAUGAUGAGUCGUCAGUCAUGGAUGUGAUCAGGAGUAACCAAGAGGUUGAGGGGUUGGAGUUCAACAUGGAGGAAGAGAUUGACCAGGCUGCUGAUAUGUUCAUUCGGAGGUUCCGGCAGCAGCUGAACGAGGGAUUUUAG
rnacentral:rRNA from 1 species